rnacentral:rRNA from 1 species
GAUGAACGCUAGCUACAGGCUUAACACAUGCCAGUCGAGGGGCAGCAUGACCUAGCAAUAGGUUGAUGGCGACCGGCGCACGGGUGAGUAACACGUAUCCAACCUGCCGAUUAUUCCGGGAUAGCCUUUCGAAAGAAAGAUUAAUACUGGAUAGCAUAACGAGAAGGCAUCUUCUUGUUAUUAAAGAAUUUCGAUAAUCGAUGGGGAUGCGUUCCAUUAGUUUGUUGGCGGGGUAGCGGCCCACCAAGACAUCGAUGGAUAGGGGUUCUGAGAGGAAGGUCCCCCACAUUGGAACUGAGACACGGUCCAAACUCCUACGGGAGGCAGCAGUGAGGAAUAUUGGUCAAUGGACGAGAGUCUGAACCAGCCAAGUAGCGUGAAGGAUGACUGCCCUAUGGGUUGUAAACUUCUUUUAUAUGGGAAUAAAGUGGGCCACGUGUGGCUUUUUGUAUGUACCAUACGAAUAAGGAUCGGCUAACUCCGUG